GGCACAUGGCGGUGAGGAUCUCGAGUGGAGUGACGAUGAUGACAUUUCUAUUGAUAGUAAAGGUGAGCCGGAUGGUGAUAAAGACACCGAUUGGAGAGACAGUGAGGAUGAUGACCUCAUCGAUAAUGAAGGUGAGCUAAAUGACGAUGAAGAUGUCGAGUGGAGUGGCAAUAAAGAUAAAGACUUCAUUGAAGGU